UCUGUUUUGUUCACUGCUGUAUUCCCCAGCACAGAGAAGACACCCUGGGCCCUAAGGGGCUUUAAGAAAUAUUUAUCCAAUGAAUGAGAAGUGAUGGAAGUGAGGAACACUAAACUCAAGUUAGUGGUUACCACUGGAUAAAGGAAAGAAAUAAAACUGCAAGAGGAACACAAGGCACCACCUGUAUCUACAAUACUGUAUCGCCAUAAGAAAACCCUGAUAUAAAACAUGCCAAAAUACUGAGCUCUGGCAAGAAACAAAAAGCAAACAAAUUCAGCCACAGCUAAAGAAAUGGAGGCGGAAAAUUUCAUGGUUAAUGGACUGCAUCUAGUGAUGGCCUUCUUGCGGAUGGGAAGUCUGCAGAUAGUUCCCAAGCAGCACAGGACAUCACAUGAAUGCUGGCAUGAUGAACUUUGGGUCUGACUCAAGAUGAAAACUCCUGAAUUCACAAAAAUGUAAUGAUAUGGUCUUCAGUUUGAGAGGAGCUGUGUCUGAGGAACUGCAUUUGCACCUGGACCUGAAGUACAUGACAUGAUCCUGAAGCCACAGCCUAAGCUUGAUGUUGUAAUAAAUAAGGCUCUUGAGAGUGGAGGGGUGUUGGGAGGUAUGAGUGUAUUUUGCAUGUGGGUAGAAUAUAAGUUAAUUUGCGGCCAUGGGUGAACUGGUGGCAGAUUUAAGUCACAGCCAUAAUGUAUUUUGACAGUCUUGCUUGUGAAAAGAUGGAGGCUAUAUCCCCUUUCCUUAAUCUGAGUCUGACUACCUGAUGAAUGUAAUAUGACAUUGUGUCAGCUUCUGGGACUAGACCUUAAGACACUGACAAAGGAGGAGAGCAAAAUGGAUGACUCGAUGCAGUCAGGUGGAACAGCUGCCACUGGAGGGGACUGAGAUGACUUGGGUGCUUUUAACAGAUCUUCAGAAGGAAGGUGCUGAGAGUGGACAAGGGGAAGACACAGAAGCUCAGCUGAAAGGGGAGAAAGCUGGGAAUCUGCAUGGGAUGACCAUGCACCAGGACUCAUUUUUGGAUCACAACAGCUCCGGGGGAACAGGGGAGUUGAACUGGCAAGAAGUAACCCACUCUCACCAUGGCCUCUGGAACCCUGGUAGGAUAAGGUCCCUUCACCACCACAGACACUCAAGUUGGCAGGGAGAGCUGCUUAGAGAAGUGUUAGGGGCAGUAAACCAGCUGUUGGAGCCCAGAGGGCUUGGUGUGGAAGUGGCUAUUAUGGAGCAUAGCCAGGGAUGGCCAACUCCUAGGCUCAAUGGGAGAUUUUAGCCCUAGGGGAACUGUUGGACCUGAUCUCUGAAUAGUGGUCUAGCCCAUCAGAUGGGGAUGUUUCAACCUGAGCACCCCUUGGUCUACUGACCUCUCCAGGGGCCCCAGCCUGGCCAUGCCUGCUUGCAGGGCAAUCUUGGGUGUUUUGGGAGCCCACACUAUAGUUUCUGAGUUGAUGGACUGUGCCUGACUAGUGGAAAGCUCCAGCAAGGUGGCCCCUAUGGCUAUGUACCAGCUCACUUGCUCCCUCUUCAUACUGCAGCUUUUCCUGGGCCAAUGGCAAUUCCUCACAUAAAUCUGUUGGCUCAUAUCUGCAUGGGCAGGUUUUGCUUUCCUUGCCUCACCAGAGUGCAGGAGUGCAGUCUGCCCCCUACCCCACUGCCAUUGCAGACAGCCUUGGUGGGCACAGAGCCAGUAAGCCCCACCCCUACCAGUGCGCUAACAUUGCGAAGAUAAAAGCAGAUCUUCCUCUACCCUGAGUGAUCACUCCUGCUUGUGGGGCACAGAUAAGGCACCCAGACCUAUGCCCACCAACAUCACGUCCCAAGCUAACACCACCUCCAGUGCAACAGCACACACAGUCUCCAGCAAGGGCCUUUCUCCCACUUUUACCCAUACUCUUCCCACCAGUUGCAUUGCCUCUGCCACUGUGGUGAAUGCCUGCAGGGAGGGAAGCAAACAUCCUGGCACCUGCUGGUACUCUGCCACAACUGCUACAUCUCAGCCCUCCCAUCCUCCACCUCCAGCACAAUGGAUUCCAAACCUUGAAGAGCCAGAGAACAAAGUCAGGGCCCAAUACAAGUACCCUAGAAUUAGGGUAUGCAGUCCAGGAGUUGGGGGCUGAUGACUGGUCCCCUAAAAUCUUCCAGAAAGGAAGCAAGUCAUUCAAAUCCACCUUAUACCACAAUCAAACCCUUAAGGUCAUCAAAUAUGAUUUAAAUAAAUUCAAAAGUCAGCAACCUCAAAGAUAUAAUAGAUUGAGACUUUUACACCCCACUGACAAUAUUAGAUCAUUGAGACAGAAAAUUAACAAACAUAUUUAGGACCUGAACUCACCUCUGAAUCAAGGGGACCUGAUAGAUAUCUACAGAACUCUCCACCCAAAUU